UCUGAAACUGAAGAGGCUACAGUUCAAAAGGAUCUGUCUCCCGUUGCAGGUCCCAUGGCCCUGUGUCCUCCUGGCUGGUUCUGACUUGGUUCCCGUUGCUUUUUGCUGGUGACCUCUAGGAGGAGCUGGCUCAGUGCCGAGAAUUAUUGUGUGGCUCAGCAAGGCAGUCUGGCCUCUGUGCAAUCUCCUGAUGAAUACAACUUCUUGCAAAGUCUUGCUCAACUUUCAGGCCAAUCAGUAGUCUGGAUUGGAGGUUUCAACUUCCAGGGAGCUUGGAUGUGGACAGAGCAGGCUUACACCAACUGGUAUUCACAGAAUUCUGUAUUUUGCUUGUACCUGAGGUCCAGUGGUAAGAGUACUGUUCUGGAAAAUACAGUAUGCAUGCUGCAUGUCAUUGAUAAUUUGAA